rnacentral:lncRNA from 1 species
UUCCUUUCCCACCUAUUUGCUCAAGAAAUUUGGUAUGAAUUAAACUCCACAUUUCUCGCAACUGCAUCUCUUUACCCCUAAGGGAAUUAUGAAUAACUUCAACCCAGCUAGUGCACAACGCAACAUAUUCAAGAAGCGACCAAUUCGUACCUGCAUCAGUAGUCAUUUUGUGGAAAAAAAAAUUGGAUUGAAACUUUGAGAGAAAGAUAGGAAUUUGAUUGAAAGUAGUUGAGAAAAUAUGAAAUUGUGGUGUAAGGUAGAUGGAGAAGAAGCGGUAUUUAUAGAA